ACCAGCCUUGGGGAGCUGUACCUCCUCAACUCAGUCUUUGUGGCCCAGGUCUGCAUGAAUUUUAGGUAGCUCUGAAAAAGAGCAUGGGAAAAUAGGGAGUAUGUUCAGUCAGGAAUUUAUUUUGGCUGCAGUUGUGAGAACAUGCAAAUGACUCCAAAGUCAUUCAUGUGGAAGGAGCAACAGCAGACCUUCAAGUGCCUUUCAUAAGUGAUGAUGUGGAAGUUUCAGACAGACAAGUCCUUUUAAUAUCCAAAAGAUAGAAGAGGGACAGAACACCCUUUCAUUAGGGGGUAAAUGCUGUAAUUCAGGACUUCAGAAUCAUGGAAUUCCAAGUGGAAGGCAGCAUCUCCUCUAAUUCAAAAAAAGAAGAUGGAAAAAGUGAUUCAGAAAAAACAGGAGACUUGAUUGAUUUUUGCAUGAAGAUAUAACAAAGUAGACCUUAAAUAACACUUUCUCAUAUUUUGUAUUUUCUCCUUUCUCUCUGUCUCCCCUUCCUGCCUACCAUUAAUCCUUUACUGUUUCCUUUUCUCUUUGAUUUUUUCCCCUCUUUCACUUCUGCUCUUUUACUUUCUUCCUGCACUCUUAUCCCUCUAUUCAACCAUGGGCAUUCAACUCACUUGCCCAGUAUAAUCCUUAAAAUCCUCCUUAAAUGGAAGAUUUGGCUGCAAACUCAUUCAUAGCUACAUUUUUCUUUCCCAAUAGAACAAAAUAUUUAUCCAGAAAGGCAUGAUAGGAAAGCUAGGAUCCUCUGUUUCUGAAAAUAGAGUCUUUGAACUUUUCAGCCAGAGGAAGUUUUCUGUUGGCUAUCACUUAUAAAAAACUGUUGGCUUUGUUCAUUUUUGUUCUUAUUCGCUAAAGUUCAACAAGCUAAAAGAAAUAUCUGGGCCUUGAUCCUUUCUAUUGAAAGCACAAAGGAGAAAGAGGGGACUAGAAAGGAAAACUAUUGGGUUACACUAAGCUAGUGUGUGCUCUUCCAGACUGAAAGAGCAAGAUUAAGGAUGAGAUGUGGAUAGGAUGAGGCAAGAGAUACGGAAAUUCUCCCUAAAGGCUCUGUACUUGUCUGCUUGCUGUUAAUAACCUUUUUAGCUUCAACAUGCCAGAAGCUCUCUGCACUACCUGCCUUUCUAAAAGGAUAGAAGACACUUUAAAUAAUUCCAAAUUGAGUCAUGUUAAGAAAAAAGAAGUAAAAAAAUGAGAAGCCAGCAAGCAAGUGGGUUCCUUGGUGUGGCUCAGAAGUGCUGGAGCAGGUGACUCACCCCUGGGGGGGCAGCCAGUACUGUGUUGGCCAGUGUUCCACUCUUGCCCUGGCAUCUGAGAUUCAUGUUCCAACUAGCCCUUAAACUGGGAAGUACUCAGGGAUGCUGCUAGGUCACUUUUUAAUUAAAAUCCAAAAGAUUCUAGGAAUACAUUGGGAAAUUCAUAAAAUAAUUUUACUUGUAACUGUUUUACUAUUGUCCCUAUUCCUCUUCACUAAACCUCUCUCUUCUAAGGAAUCAGAGACAAGUCUCUCACCUUGCAAAUAAAAGCCUGGUUCCCAACAAAUGAUAUGCUG